CAAUAACCUUGACCUACCUCAAAGAGGCAGGGAUCUGGCUUAGGAGAGUCUGGAAGGAGCUCAGAGGGGCUUAAACGCAGGACCUGCGCUGCCACCGGGGCGGCCAGGGAAUCCUACGAAUCGCCCCAGAAUCAGAAGCCCGGAGAAGCUGGGAAAUCGCUUUCACUAUAAAAAGCUGCAGCUCCGGGGCACUAAGGGCUCGGCGGAGCCGCACACGUGUCAGCCGCGAUUUCCCUGGCGCGGCAGGGCAGAGGAAGGCGCACCGCGGCUGCAGCCCCGCGCCCGGCAAGGGCAAGCCCCGCACCACGGCCAGCGGGGCGACCAGCCCCGGGCCCCCCGCGCAGGCACGGGAGCCAGCCCGGGAAGGAGGGGAAGGGCUGGGAAGAUCUAAAACCCCCAUGCAUACCAGCCAGACCCAUUGUGCCCAUUGGAUCAUCAUGCUGUGCUGCCUGCUGCCCCUCAGGAAAACCACUAUACCACUGGCAGGCAUUGAUUUUUGGGGUUGGCAGGCUCCACUGUGGACCUGGAGUUCUCAGGAGCAUUAUGGGAUCUAAAUGCUUGCUGGAACAAAACAUCCACAGAGGUUCUUUCAUUAGGCCUUGGAAAUUAAGCAUGAAGGCAAGGAGGACAUCAACAGCCAAACAGUUCUCCGUGCCUAUUGGGAUGACCAAGUUCUUUGUGGUGAGGGUGGUGAGGCACUGGAACAGGUUGCCCAGAGAAGCUGUGGAUGCCCCAUCCCCAGCAGUAUUCAAGGCCAGGCUGGAUGGGACUCUUGACUAUCCUGGUCUAGUGGAAGAUGUCCACUAGAGGAGCAUAGAGUGAGAUGAUCUUUAAGGUGUCUUCCAGCCCAGACCAUUCUGUGAUUCUGUAACAUCCAGAGGUGUGAUACCACCAGGAAAGAGGUGACGAUCUCCAGGGGAAUACAUCUCUAAGAGCCUCCCUGACUGCUCACAUACACCACGCCCUGUGAGUGUGGAUUUCCAGCUCUGUACCAAGGGCCCAUGGAAACUGGCAGAGCACCAGUGCACAGUUGGGGUGACUAGAAAAGAGUGCCUACAAGGAUGCUCCCAGGAGCAUGUAGGGCUAAUGAGGACAUUCUGUACACAGGAAAAGUGACAAUUAUAUUGAGUCACGAUGAACAGCCCAGAAACCUCUUCACACACAUGAAAACAAGAGAAGCUUGUUAUCACAGUCAGGGUGAACCCAAGGUGAGAAGAAGAUGUAAACCAGAGGCCAGUGAAGCAUCAGAAGUCAAUGGUAGUGAGUUGGAUAUAGGUAAAAAGGGGAUAAACUUUUCUCAUGUGCUGUUCAACCUGGGCUGAGCAAAGCAUGAGAAGAUACAGCACUGGAGGUGGAAAGCUCCCUCCAGAAGGGUGGUGCCUGACCAAGGAAGGAGACCUGUGUGCUGUGGCCAUUUUAUUGGCAUAUAUUGGAUGAGCAUCCAGCACAAGAGAAAAAUGCAAGUGCAGUGGGCAGGGAGAUGCCAGAGUAGUCUAUCCAACCCCACAGUCUUAUCUCCACCAUGUCCUUGGAAAAACAGGCAGCAAGGCCUGGGUUGCAGGCAGGCUGCUGUGGUGGGCACUGCUGCAGGGAUUCCCAGUUUGGGGAACAGUGUGGGGGAGCUGAGGUCUUCUCACUCCCCAGCUGCAAAACUGCUUCCCACCCCUUUCCUUGGUGGUGUCAUAUCCCCCCUCUGCCCUGUUUUGUAAAGGCAUCAGUGGGUUUCACUGUGCUGUAUCCUCUCAGUCAAAAGCUGAACUGAACUCAGUGUGGCUUGAGGUAUAGAUGUUACUAUUUCUCACAGUGUAGAUGUGCUGGCAGGACAUUACCGUCCCCUGGCAAAGAAGAGGUUAACACUGUCCAUCUUUGUGCUGCAUCUCAGGAGGACUGCAAUCACACAUUUUUAUUUUUGGUUCUGCUGCAUAAGAACAACUGCUCUUUGUAACCUGCAUGGCACAAAGGACCCAUUUCUUCCGGCAGCAUUUAAGAGAGGGCAUAAAAAAAGGAAGCAGAGGAAGAAAGUUCGUAUUCAGCGGGUGCCAGGUUGUCAAGGUUUCCUCUGCUUUCAGACAUAAUUUUUUUCUCCUGACAGACACAAAAGGGAUUUAAAACUGUUCGGUGCAAAACAGAGCUUCAAAAGCAGCACUGUCUGUGUCUGACAGAAGGUGAAAAGCACAGCUCAGGACCUCCAGUACAAGGCAACGUUAUUGUCAUCGUGGUGCACACAGGAGCAUUAGACCAGGUCUGUGCUCGGCUUGUCACAAAGCUUGUCCUGUGUGUCUCCAAAUCCUGCACUGCUUUCAGCCCACCUCCCAGAGGGGCUGUGGGCUAGUUCAGCUCCACAAGGACAUGGGUCAAGUUCAGUCUGCUGCAAAGAAAGAGGCUUUCAUGAGGUCUUGCUUUUCAGUUUCCUUCCCCAUUUGUAUUGUCUUCUGCUUUAAUAAAUGGUGAACUGCCAGUAAAAUCCC